CUGCCCUGCAGAGGUUUGCGCGCAGCCCUCCCCAAGCUAGAGCAGCUGCUAGGCUGUUCCCAAGCCGUCUCGCUGCUCUAGCUUGGGGAGGGCUGCGUGCAAACCUCUGCAGGGCAG